rnacentral:rRNA from 1 species
UACGUAGGGUGCAAGCGUUGUCCGGAAUUAUUGGGCGUAAAGCGCGUGUAGGCGGCCCGGUAAGUCCGCUGUGAAAGUCGGGGGCUCAACCCUCGAAUGCCGGUGGAUACUGUCGGGCUAGAGUGCGGGAGAGGCGAGUGGAAUUCCUGGUGUAGCGGUGGAAUGCGCAGAUAUCAGGAGGAACACCAAUAGCGAAGGCAGCUCGCUGGGACGGUACUGACGCUAAGGCGCGAAAGCGUGGGGAGCGAACAGG